AGUGAACGCUGGCGGCAGGCCUAACACAUGCAAGUCGAGCGGCAGCGGGUCCCCGCGAGGGGAUGCCGGCGAGCGGCGGACGGGUGAGGAACACAUCGGAAUCUGCCUGGUUGUGGGGGAUAACGUAGGGAAACUUACGCUAAUACCGCAUGAGACCCUGAGUCGACGGACUGGGGGUGAAAGUGAGGGACCUUCGGGCCUCACGCGACCAGAUGAGCCGAUGUCGGAUUAGCUAGUUGGCGGGGUAACGGCCCGCCAAGGCGACGAUCCGUAGCUGGUCUGAGAGGAUGAUCAGCCACACUGGGACUGAGACACGGCCCAGACUCCUACGGGAGGCAGCAGUGGGAAUCUUGCGCAAUGGGCGAAAGCCUGACGCAGCGACGCCGCGUGAGGGAUGACGGC
rnacentral:rRNA from 1 species